GGGUGCGAUCAUACCAGCAUUAAUGCACAGUAUCCCAUCAGAACUCCGCAGUUAAGCGCGCUUGGGCCAGAGUAGUACUGGGAUGGGUGACCUACUGGGAAGUCCUGGUUUUGCACCCA
rnacentral:rRNA from 1 species